rnacentral:rRNA from 1 species
AGUGAACGCUGGCGGUAGGCCUAACACAUGCAAGUCGAACGGCAGCACAGUAAGAGCUUGCUCUUACGGGUGGCGAGUGGCGGACGGGUGAGGAAUACAUCGGAAUCUACUUUUUCGUGGGGGAUAACGUAGGGAAACUUACGCUAAUACCGCAUACGACCUACGGGUGAAAGCAGGGAUUCUUCGGACCUUGCGCGAUUGAUUGAGCCGAUGUCGGAUUAGCCAGUUGGCGGGGUAAAGGCCCACCAAGGCGACGAUCCGUAGCUGGUCUGAGAGGAUGAUCAGCCACACUGGAACUGAGACACGGUCCAGACUCCUACGGGAGGCAGCAGUGGGGAAUAUUGGACAAUGGGCGCAAGCCUGAUCCAGCCAUACUGCGUGGGUGAAGAAGGCCUUCGGGUUGUAAAGCCCUUUUGUUGGGAAAGAAAAGCAGCAGGUUAAUACCCCGCUGUUCUGACGGUACCCAAAGAAUAAGCACCGGCUAACUUCGUG